GCAAGAGCACGAAACAUCUCAUGCAACUACAUAUCCAACAACCAAUAUUAAAGGCGUGCUAACGUCAUCGAUGAUUUAGCUAGCCAUUAGGUUUUUUUUAAUAACCUUUUUAAAUGUUUUGGUCAGAACCAUUUAUUAAAAAGUUACUUUUUCAAUCUAAAACCUUUUAAAAAACAUUUUGUUAAAAAAUAUAUAUAUAAAAUAGUUAUGACCGUUGGAGGUCAGACCCAUUGAACGCAUCCUUUUUUUUUUUUUUUUUUUUCAAAUUGCCUUUGUUGGUUUUAUUAUUAUUAUUUUUAUAAAAAAUUUAAAAAUCUAAAAUAUGUCUAUAUACCUCAAAAUUUCUUUAAAAACCACUCAUUUCAAUCCACAUUUCUUACAAAUUCUAUCACAUUCUCUACUUAUUCACAACUUUCCAUACUCUUUCUUUUUGUCAAAUAUUUUCCACACUCAUUUCAUCCAAACAUUUCCUACAAAUUUAUUUUCGUUACUUAUUUGUUAUUCACAUUGUUUUAAAAAUGUCCUGGACUUUGAAGGGACGAAAUUGGUCACGAGUGGAAGAUGAACAUCUUUGCAAGGCUUUCAUAAACGUCUCCGAAGAUAGCGCUAUGGGUACGAACCAAAAAAGCACUGGGCUUUGGGAACACAUCUCACAAAAAUACACAAAGUCUAUGGAAGGCGUCAUCAAUCCUUCCAUUUUCAUAAACCAUGAGAGUUGUGCUGGUAGAUGGAAGAAGCAGAUCUAUCCAAGCUGCAACCUAUGGCAUUGAGCCAUCAAAACUGCUGAAAAAAAC
rnacentral:lncRNA from 1 species